rnacentral:lncRNA from 1 species
CUGAAACGCGGCUCUUCUCGGAUCUCAAGCCGCUGGGUUCCCGACCGGAAGUCACGCCAUCUGCUCUCGCGUUGUCCAGUUUAACGCGGACACAGAUUUUGGGACUUCUCGGUCUCCAUACUCCUGUGAGCCAAUUCAGAGAUUUGCGGUCAGCAACCUGGAGAACCGUGGAGCGGAUGGUCUAACUUCCGGUCGGAAACGCAGCAGGGUUGAGAUCUGAGAAGAACCGUUUAUUCAGUUCCACUCUGAAGUUUUCACUUCUUCUCAGUCUACAUAAUUUGGCUGAGUCCUCAAAUAAAAAAUUGACGCUCACAACCAGAAGGACCCACAACGAGAAUAUACAACUAUGUACUAAGGGGCUUUGGGGAGAAGAGGAAGAAAAAAAAUUAAUGACUUAAGCAGACUGCUGGUAUGAAAUCUGCCUUUAUUUUAAUAACACGAUUUCUCAAGACUGUAUGACUAACUUUGAAAGAAGGAGUAGAACCACCACCUAGAGAGAAUUGUGAUGCUCAACAUUACAUAACUCCUUAGAGCUAGAUCUGGAACUAGAGUUUUUUCAAGUUGUACUUUUAUCUCAGACAAAUAAAUAUUGAAAUUAUUUAAUUCA